CUACGUAGGGUGCAAGCGUUAAUCGGAAUUACUGGGCGUAAAGCGUGCGCAGGCGGUUUUGUAAGACAGAGGGGAAAUCCCCGGGCUCCACCUGGGAACUGCCUCUGUGACUGCAAGGCUAGAGUACGGCAGAGGGGGAUGGAAUUCCGCGUGUAGCAGGGAAAUGCGUAGAUAUGCGGAGGAACACCGAUGGCGAAGGCAAUCCCCUGGGCCUGUACUGACGCUCAUGCACGAAAGCGUGGGGAGCAAACAGGAUUAGAUACCCUGGUAGUCCACGCCCUAAACGAUGUCAACUGGUUGUUGGGUCUUCAUUGACUCAGUAACGAAGCUAACGCGUGAAGUUGACCGCCUGGGGAGUACGGCCGCAAGGUUGAAACUCAAAUGAAUUGACGGGG
rnacentral:rRNA from 1 species